UACAGAGGUCUCAAGCGUUGUUCGGAUUCAUUGGGCGUAAAGGGUGCGUAGGUGGCGCGCUAAGUCAGGUGUGAAAUUUCGGAGCUUAACUCCGAAACUGCAUUUGAUACUGGCGUGCUUGAGGACUGGAGAGGAGACUGGAAUUCAUGGUGUAGCAGUGAAAUGCGUAGAGAUCAUGAGGAAGACCAGUGGCGAAGGCGGGUCUCUGGACAGUUCCUGACACUAAGGCACGAAGGCCAGGGGAGCAAACGGG
rnacentral:rRNA from 1 species